UUCUCCCCGAGAGAAGAUAGCCAGGCUGAGAUUAUUGCAUCGGCAGCCUGUCAGCUGAGGUUAGGCUGAGGUGUGAUUUAAAUUUCAAUACUUUCCACCUUACAGCUGUCUGGGGUGGGGAAAUUACAAGAAGAAAAGCAGAGAGUCUGUUAUUUCUGUUCAUUAGUCUCUCCCGAUUUGCUUUGUUUUUCUUUUGCUUAGCUGGGGAACCUGGGGGAGGAAGGUGCUCCCCAUUUUUCUGAAUUUCCACAGCCCCGGCUUGCUCAGAGAGACUGUGCAGGGCAUGAGGCAGAACCUCUACUAUUGGGCUGGGCUGCGGGAGCAGGAAGAGAUCCUUUUCUGUAUGAGGUACAAGGCAAGUGACGGCAUUUGUAUAGCUGCUACAGCCAGCCUGAAAGAGGCUGUGACCUUUGGGAGAGCAGAGCUGAGGGAGCAGCACCAAAUGUGAUUUCUCCAGCUUCCUCUGGCGUUGCCCACUGGUGCAUUUGGCCAGGUGCAUUUGUUUGUGACAUCAGCUGCGUGUAAAUUACCACAGAUCUUGACUCCCUUGAUCCCCUCCAAUUGCUUCCUUGCUCGGGCUGUGACUCGAGCCACUGUGAACUUGGGGCUGAUAUCUUCCACUGCAGUCACAAAGGCAGGAGGGGAGGGUGCUGAUGCAGAUGCCCAAGCAAGGGCUGCAGUCAUUUGCCCCUGCUGCAAGCCCUAUAGGGAAAACAGAACCCAGUGCAUUAGGCCUAUUAAAUGAAACCUUCAUUUGAGGCAUAUGAAUUUCCUUUGGAGUGUGCAUGAACCUUUUAUGCACAAAUCUGUGGAUUUGUGUAGCACGUUUUCCAUGAGCGCUUUUCCAGUGUUCAUUUCGGGCUCGUUACGUGCAGUGAGCUCACUGUUCUUCUGCAGCUCAUUUGUGUGAAUGAACAUAUGCUUACAGGGUCUGGUCACGUGCACUGAGCACAGCGUUAGUGUGUGUAUGGCAUUGUGCUUCUGCCAGCAGCCCUAUUGCACAUGCACAGUGCAUGGGUGUCAUUUCAUUUGAUUGCUCUAUUUUCCUGUUCUCCAGAUUGAACCAUUGGGGUCAUUUUAUGACUGCAUCAGGUGUUUUAUUUCCUCGCACAGCAAACGUAAAUUUGCUAAUGUCAGAUUUAUUCUGAAUCAAUACACUGGUGCAAUUCUCAAUAGGGGAAAACGUCAGCCUUUGUUGCACUUCAUGGAUGGGCAUUUUUGCAUAGCUAGCAUGUGUGUCCUCGCACAGCACACGUGCUUUUGUUGCCCAUAGAAACAAGGUACAUUGCACUGAAAAUAACCUGUGCUGUAAUGUUUGCUCAUGAUGGUGUGGUUACAGCUUGUGCACUCGGGGGCCAUAGUAAAAGUGUCCUUUAUCUCUAAAACUCAGUAUGCUGAGUGCUAUACUUGUGCAGUGUAAGCACAUAUUUUCUUGCACUUGCUGGCAGAGUUGUGGAAGUGUUGAGUCUUCAUCUUGUUAAAAUAACAGAACGGUUGUCCAUAUAUUUUCUAAUUUCCUAAAACAUCCUCUGGCUUUCAUGGUUUAAAUUUUUGUCUGUCCAAAUGAUCCAUGUCAAAGCAUCAGGAAGGAAAUUUAGGCAGUUAUGGAAGUGGAAUGGAGCAAAGUUGUGAAUUAAUGCUUUUCUGAUGCUAUAUAAAAGGGAAAAUGGUGAAAAAGAGCCACAAAUAAAAUACAAAAUGAACAAGAUCAGCCAAGGUAAUGUCGAGGUUUGUACUUAAAUCGGAAACGUUUACAGCGAAAGAAUUCAGAUGACAGCAUUCCUGUCUUAUUCCAUCCUGUGCUCAUGCCAUCCUGCCCCACAUCUCACAGCCCCUGGGGUCAGCCCCUGGGAAGCAGGAAGGAUGACGCAGCACUUCCAGCCUUGUUCCUUCCUUUGGCUGGCCUGCCUUGUACUUAGCUGCUUUGAAAAUGAGUUAGGCCUUCAUUAUCCCUUCAUUUCUUUUCAAUGGCAUUUUAAAAGACCUGACACAGAGUAGGCAUGAUUGAAGCACCUGCUGCUUUUCUCUGUAAUUACCCAGUUUCCUUGUUGGGACUGAAAUUAUUGCCCUGCAAGUGUGCAACGUCCCUAUUAGCACGUAUGAGCUAGCCAAACACCAACCUGCCUGGCUGCAGCUGGCACCUCUCCAUGUAUUGAGACACAAAAACCAUUUUCCUUGCCUGCUGGGCUGAGCUGUGGUAUACCUGAGCCCAGCCCAGCGGUGGAACUGCAGCAGAGGUGAUCUGUGACUUUGACAGAACAGUGGAAAAGGGAGGAGCAGUGCCAACGACUGGGACAGUGUGCUGACAGGGACAGCAUGCCUUUUGGGGGCUGGAAGCUGUGAAGGGCUUGGGAGUCCCACACACCUGGGUGCUGGUCAGAUCGUGGUCUGCACAAUCAGAGGUAGUGAAGCUCUGUGCAGAGCCAGGGAAGGUGCCUGCAUGCUGAGAGUUUCUAGGAGCUGGUUGAGAGUUACAGCAUCUUUUGUCCAUCUGUUUCUCUAUUAAUGGGAACUAGAGCUAGGGAAAAAUAUUCCUGAGCUGUAACCAGUGCAACGACUGAGGCCUUGUCUGUAGCCUGGGGAGGGAGAAUGCAGCCAGGAGGUAGAAGAGGCAAAUCUGAGAAAAAUGAAUAACGAGUCUUUGUUAUGGAGAGCGUUCUGCAGCAUUUGCUUCUUAAAAGGUGUUCAAGGAGCAUCUGCGGCCUUUGUCAAGGGAACUCAGUCCAGAGAAAUUGGAAAACAUGGAAGUUAGGAACAGUUAAGAUUUCUCAGCCCUUUUGCAAAAGGCAGGAGUAUGCUGGGGGGUCGUGUGUGACACCAGAGGGAACUGACAGUGAUUCCUGCAGGUAUUUGUUGCCCAGCUGCUAUUUUUGACUUCAAAUCCCAGAGAAUCAUCAAAUAUCUAGUCCUGGAGCUUGAGUGCUGUCCCUCUGCUGAGCCCCCUGUCCUCUCCUGGGCUCUGAAUUGAGCUCCCAAGAAGCAUGCGAGAGUGUUAGUCAGUGGAUGUGCAGUGAGAGAAGAGAAAGAAAGGAUUAUGCUGAAGGAUCAGUGCAGUAAAUGACUUCCACGCUCAGGGAGCUCACAAGCUCCCUGUAAUAAAGGAAGAGGCAAAACCAGAUCCCGUGUAGCCUCUGUGAUGCACAGCUAAACCUUAUCUCAGCCUGUUGGGUUUCCACGGGGCUCAGCUCGCACCCCAGCCCCUCACUUCUCCCUCCCCACAGCAACGCCUGCUGCCUGCCUUCCCCCCUGGCCUCCCUCUGGGUCCUUGUGACAGGCUUAGGGAUCCUGGGACCCUGAUGCUGGAAUGGCAUUUUGGCCUAGCUGGAAUUGUUUAUAAUCACAGAGCUUUGAUGCUGUCUCCAAGGCCUCUGGAGAGCUGAGAAGGGCUAUUUUUCAUGUGAUGCUUUUGGAGUAUGCUAUGGGAAAAGGUCAAGGGACGCAGUGGGAAUGAGUGGGUCACAUACUCAAUGGUUUAGGGCACGACGGCAGCAUCGGUUCUUUAAGAUCUCCAAGCCUGCUUUGUAAAAAUAAGCACCUCUUACUGAGCUGCCUGGGAAAGGAGAGGGGCACGCCUCCUGCGAGCGGAUGUUCACGGCGCUCCUCUGGGUUUGCUCUCUUGCCUUGGCAAUUGCUGCAUCUCGGCAUCCUUGUGAACCACACAGAUCCCUCAAACAGUGCACAGCAUUUUAAAAAGCCUCCUUGCUUACCGCUCUGACCUUUGUAAUACAAGGAGAAAUUCUGUAAGAGCAGAAGCUCCCCUCCUGCACCUGGCACACGGCUGUCUUCCAGCAGGCCGGAGAGCAGCACUGCAGGGCUCCUCAGCCCAUCCCAGUGUCCACCACAUCAUGCUGGGCCUCUGGGCAAAGCGAGCUCUAGGCCCAACAGAUAUUUGACUUUUUUUUGCAUGUGCUGCCUUUGCUCGUUUAAAUCUGGGAGGGGGAGCAGUCUAGCAAGGGUUGUCCUUUUUUCCUCCAUGAUGCAUACGUACUGCAGAUAAGAGCCAGGAACAGGAAGCGGAGGGGUGAGGUGGCAAGUAAUUUACAUUGGAAAUAGAAGCUGAAUGUGCAUUUCCCUAUUCUGUUGCCAUCAAUCACUCAGACUUCCCGUAUGCUGUGAAAUAAAGGAGUGGAGUUUGCUUGCUCCCCACUUCCCCCAGGAAUGGAAGCAUUCAUUUGUUUCACUGUUGAGAAAUGCUGAUCGCUCAGAGCAUUUUGUUUUCUUAGAUGUGCUCCACUCGGAAGCUGAACUUUUUGGCUUCCUCCUGUUUGGACUGCAGAAAUGUCUUUGUAUGCCCUGCAGAUGUGGGGAGUCACUGCUGGUGCUGUAGCUCUGAAAGGGAAGGAAAGGUGCUGCUGAAAUACAGACGGGCCCCCAGCCAGUUGAACAGAUACUUCAUUGCAGAGCACUGGCAAAUACUCUCUGUUCUCUAGCUGUUUUAACUUGUUUAUGUGAUCUCGCACCUGACAGGAGUGCAGCUAGGGCCAUGUCCUCCUUGCCAUUGGAAACCUGUGAGUAUUUUAUGGGACUAACAAAUUUGUUGAGAGAAAAUUAUAGCAGGGAAUUAUGUGGAAUAGAUAGACCAGCAUGUGCUCCCUGUUAUUUACAAUUUAGCUCUGCUGGAAGGCAUGGGGACAGUAGCAGAGAUGUAGAGUGGAGGACUGGGAAAGGAAUAGAAGGAGAAAAAGAGGAAAAACAGAAAGAUAUAGGACAAACAGGCAAGUGAAUGAAAAUUACCUGUCUCAUAGCAAAUAGCAUAAAUGAAAUAAAUAUGAAAGAAUUCGGAUAGCUCCACCCUGGAGAGACUCAAUAGAAAAUGACCAGCUGUGUAUUUUUUUUUUUUUACUCUGUCAUCAUGUGUAUGGCAUAUAUCUGUGGCUUUUAGAUGGUGUCUGGUCCCUGGUUAAGCAAUGUCUUCCUAUUACUUACCACUCUCUAAUUAGCCAAAAUCUUAUCCUGCACAGGAGGGGCUGACUUAAUUCCUUUGUGGAGGCACUCAGGCAAUGGACAGUUCUGGUCUUGGGGGAUAACUGAAGUAAUGGGGCGUUAAAAAGCUCUUGUGUGACUUCAGCAUCCUUUGACAACUCUGGGAAACUUGGUUACAGCAUGGUGUUUCCAAGCUUCCAUGAGAUGGCUGGGAGCGCAGCGAUGAUACUAUUCAGUUCAAUGGCUGUAACAAAGAAGCUGAGAGGAGCUGUGGCCUGGAAAUUUCUAUUGGCUAUGGGGGACUGAAGCCCCACUCCCUGGGGUUGUGAGCUCAGCAGCUUUUAUGAGCUCAGCCAUUGUGGGUCAGGGCAGAACACACAAGGGAGGCCUGUUGGGAAAACCCAAGGGCUGGAAGGAAAUGCUGUUGGUGACUCAAAAGGCAGAGCUCUUCCUUUUGUUGAUGUUGGAGUUGAGCCACACAGACACGUCCUUCCAUAAUUAUCUACUCGUUGCUUGUAGCUCAUGCUUUUUAACCACUGGCGUUAUCAUGUGUUGCCUGCACACCCCACCACGUGAGGCUGGAACCCACAGCCGGAGCUCAGGUAUCACACUGAUGUCUGAUAAGCACGUAUGUGUUUGCUGCUGAGAUGAGAUGCGUUCAGCCCAACGCGUAUGUGAGUCCUGAGAACGUGCAGAUGUUGUGACAAUGGAGGCAGGCCAUGGGCAGCAUUCAUUGUGCUGCUGUCCUGCUUGCCCACGGGGGAUUGCUUGCACAUAAACACCCAGGAAGAUGUGUCACUAACGGCUUGGCUUGAGACUGCUGAGGGGAGAUGUUCGGUGCUCUGCGGGAGUGUGGGCUGGUUAGGAAGUGUGGCUGGGGGAAGGGAUGAAUGGAUGUCAAAACAUCCUGACAGAGGGAGAAAAAUCAGCGCCGAGUCCCGCGUUAAGCAACAGAGACCCUUAGCGGUCACCUGGAGCAAAACACGGGUGCUGAGCUCAGUGCUGUGUGACUGAUUGCUUUUUUUCCACCUGCCGAUUUCAGAAUCAUUUAAGUAGUAACUUUAGAAAAAAUAAUUGAAAAAAAAAAUCAGUUUCAGUUGUUUUAACUACAGUUAACUACAGUUGUUUCACUGUUGUUGUUUUUCCUUUAGUUUCCUAACAGCCUAUUCUGAAAUGGGAAGGUGCUUUGUUUUCCAUCCUUAUUGAUUGCCAUUUGAUAUUGCUGUAUUCCAAGGAUAGUCACAAUUACUGCCUUCUCUUGAGAAGUUAUUACUUCUGCUGUUUAUGUCAAGUUCAUCUGUUUUUAUGCUUCCACCCAACUGUACCACCACCUCUUCUCCCUUCCUUCCAGCCAGCCCAGUGUCUGCUGUACCCAAAUUGAGUGAACGUGUUAGCUCACCAGAUUCUGCGAUGCUCUCUCUCACUCUGCUAGCCAAUGCACAGAUAAUUUGAGAAAUAUUGUUUGCUCCUAUGGGAGUUAUUUCCAUCUGAUUAGCCUGACUCUUUGCUGUGAGUGAGUCCAGUCCACCCCUGCACACAUUUGCUCUUCAGCAGCACUGCCUUCCUGCCCCAGGAGCACUGCUGAGAUCCAUGGGCUUCCAAGAGCUUUUUCUGAGAAUACCUUCUCUAGAAUUACUCAGGUAACAAUCAGCACUAGGCACAUCAUCCCAGCUCCAGUGCUCUUUGUGGGGUUUGCUUGCUGUCCUCCUAGUGGUAGGGGCUGCUACCUUCAAGGGGGCUUGUUGUAGCUUGAUGAGUGGCAAGGCAGGGAUCAGAAAAGAUGAGCUGUUUGUCUUAAGGGGUAGCUCAUUUUGGGUAAGUCACUCCGGGUAAAUCUCAUGGGGGCAUGCAGAACAAAGAUAAUAGUCUGACUCACCUUUACAAAGAGCUUAGAGAACUCAGCUGAGAAGUGUUUUGAAAGAGCUAUGCUCUGUUACAGUGAUGCUGCAUUUGUCUGCCAUCCCCAAACCUCUGCUACGGCUUUUCCAGCAGGAUUUCUACUGGUCUGGUGUAGAGCAGAGCAAUACGCUGCAGAGCUCUUCCUUAUUUUGCUAUCUUUUCCAAUGAUGUUCAGCCACAAUGUAUAUUACAAAACCAUUAUGGCUACUGCUAGGCUGCUGUGUGUUGUCAUCACUCAGCAACAGCCAUUUCCUGGAUUCCAUGGGAACCUGCUUAAAUUUCAUUGCAGUGACAAUUCAAAAUUAAAACGAUCCUACAAAAUAAAUCCAGAAAGCUGAGAUUUCUUCUCAUCCUAAGUUCCCUUCUGCAUUGUGUUACUGGCAUUUAUUACCUAUUGGUGCUGUAAGUAGUAAAUUUUCACAGUCAUGAGCUGUUGCUGCAUUAAGAGAAGCUGCAAAGGAGGCAGUGUGCCAAAAGGUGGAUGGAUGGAUUUAGAAGAACCGUGUGAUUCUGAACAAACCUCUCUGUAGCUGGAGAAAAGUCUCCAGUAGAGAUCAGACCUUGAGGUUAGCAUCUUCAUCACUCUUAGACCUCUUCAUACAGCUUUCAACUCUUGGUCCACUCUCAGAAGAGUCUUUCUGAGUAAAUAGUCUCCCGCUGAGCGGUUUGCUCCCUUGCUGCAGGGGCCUCCGCUAGAGAUCUGCCUUAUGCUGACGCCCAGCAUGGGCACUGACAGCUGUGGUUUGCUUACUGCUUCACAGAAAGUCUGUGUCUGUAGCAGAUGAUGUGUGCAAAGUGCGUGGUGAUUGUUUCUUUAAGGCCCCCCUCUACUCUCCUUCCCUCUCCACUGCUGCUCUCUUGGUAUUACUGCUGAUACAGAUUUUUUCUCUUGUUCAAUUUCGGUGCACCUGCUCAUAUAAACAAGACUGCAGUGGGGUUGCUCAAACUGAGCUUAUAUAUGACAACAGAAGCAGCACCCUAAAGCACAUUCCUAUGCACAGAGGAGUCAUUAAUACAGAGAAUGAAGCCUGGCUUUGGCAGUUUAGAUGCAUGGCUUAGGUGACCCACAGAAGCUAGUCGUUAAAUUAGGAUAUUCUCUCAGUAAAAGGUCAGAUCAACUUAUGGGAAGCUGCAGGAAUGUUUUAGAGAGCUUGAAGUCAAUCAAACAGGAGGCUUUCCUAUCAUCCUUUCAGUUCUAGAUAUUCAGCCUAUCUAUACAUCUUCAUUACUGCAUUACACACUCAGUGUGAACCUAACUACCUAGAUAUGCUAAAGGCAAAGCAUUCAGAUUCAAUUUUACAAAAGACAAGCUGACUUAAAACAUGAAUUACUGUAUUAUGCCGUCCUUGAGCCUUCAAGACAGGCUUGUACUCGAGCAGCUAUGUGUUUUUUCAUUUCAUAGAAUCAUAGAAUCUGUUAUUUUGUCUUCAUUCCUGCUUCAAUCCGAGUUAGAUAUCUUGGGUUAGAAAGAACAUCUUCUUACAAUUGUUUUUUUCCUUCACGUUUCUAUGUAACCAGAAGACUUAAAGAUGGAUAGGAAGGCCUUUGUGGCCAACUUUCAUGAGGCUGUGCCAUGCAGGAACUGGGUAGUAGAAGCUGUUUGGGAGGCUGGCAAAUGGAUAAAGAAGCCUGAGAACCUUGAGGCAGCAAAGGGUGGUUAAGAUAACCCAGAAUUUAUGCAAGAGAAUAGAUUUUAGGAAAGUUGUGAUGACUAGAGGGUGUGAUUUAAACUCACUGUGGGCUGGAGAACCUAUGAAAAGGACAAAAUGAGCAGCUACCUCUCAACACCUUCACUGCAUCUGCCUACUGGUGGAGUAGCUGUGGAAACAUUAUCAUGUGAAGUGUUUGUGAAGCCACGCUCUGUGCCUGGAGAAGGAGAUACUUGAUCAAAGGAGUGGAUAGAAGUGAAUCUACAGCUAACUUCUGAAACAGAGAUGUGAUCCCUGACAGGACCUUCUCCCUCCCAGCUCUGUGUGGUGGACAAAGUGCAAAGCCUGGCACACUGCUGACUCUGUUCUGUGUUCUUGACUGUUCCCCAUGGCUUAGGGGUUCAAGCACCUUUCCUCCUCUUCCCCAGCAUAUGUGGGAAAGCAGGGCUAAGAGUCCUGGACCAGGCCAAGGCAGUGACUCAAGAAGAAGUUGAAGUGCUCCCCAGGCCUUGUGAACUGAACAAAACAACUGCAGGAGGCUCGGUGAUGGCAGCCUUGGGGCUAUAUGGACUUAGCACAAGCAUGGCUGGUUGUCAUGUACUCUACAAAGAUCCAGUGCAAGACACAUUUCUGCUGCUGGGUUUGGUGACUGGUUGUGCUCACUUUUCUCUAGUUAGGAGCAGAAGAGAUAAAAAUCAAAAGCUGGUGAAGCUUUAGCACCUGCCUCAAGCACAGUUCAGCUGAUGAUAACCACCAGUCACUGCUCUCAGCAAGAGACCUGAUUCCACCCAUCAUGCUUGGACUGAGACAGGCUAGAAUCCAAAAAUGCAAAUGCCAAAACUGCUGUUUUCUUCUUAACCCUUCUUAUCAGCUUGGGGAGUAAAGCCUGGUGACAGCGGUUGUCACACUGGCAAGAUGGGUUUGUGUUCAGGACAGAGCAAGUUGAAGAAAGCAAAAGGGAACUCUGAACGGGAGAGCCUUGCAAUGGGACAACAGCCAAGAGAGCACCUGAACAGCAGAGCACUUUGGUAGCAGCGAGAAAAGUCAAUACAGGUUCUGAUAGCACAGCAGCACUCAGCAGGCUCAUUGCUUUCUCUGACCUACAGUGCUGACAUCCAAACUGAAAGGACUACAUUUAAGUGUCAAAGAGAUUCCCAGCCAUCUGCUGCCUCACCAGCUGCUCUCAGUGCAGGAUGAAACUUAUCUCAAUUCAGGAACCUGGGCCUCAGGCAGAGGGGUGGAAGGAGCAUCGCUGACCUCACAAGUGCUGUCUGCAGGAUGCGCGCCCAGACUGGUGCAGACGUUGGAAAUUGGAUGAAUCUCUUGUGGUAUCUCCCUCUUUGGUCAGCACAAGCAGAGCGUUUCCCCAGCGGUGCAGUGGAGAAAGACUUGGAUCAUCCUUGUUUGUCCCACGCACUGGCUCAUCAGAUGUUUUAGAGAAGCUUCUGCGAUGUCCUUCCUUCAACAAACCAUGCACUGGGGCACCCAGACUGCAAUGGGCAGCAGCCCGUGCUGAUGGAAAGAAGAUGCUGUCUGGAUCCCAUGGAGAGCAAGGAAGCUCCCUGGCUGUGGCUGUUGGGCAUGUUGAGGAGAUGCAUCACUGAAGGAUUAAAAUACAACUGCUGUGAGCUGGGAAGCAAAGCAGGCCAGGACUAGAAGCUGCCAUGGAAGGAGAGGCACAUGAUGAAGUCUGCGGAGCUGCUUGCUGAUGGGACCCACUGCCACCAUCCUGCACCCUGCUCUGGGCACACAGGGACCCCCAGCACUGCCCGAGUCCACCAGGAAACAGCCCAGAAACCUCAGUUUAUUUUCCCCCCCCCUUGUUGUUUUUCCCUCUCAGAAUUAUAUCUGACACCAGAGUCCAUCAGACAAAGUCCUUACAAACACAGGAGUCCUGAAGACAUCGGCUGAAUGUUUUCCUGGUAUAAAGAAGAAGAGGAGGAGAAAGAGGUGGUGACGGUGCGGGUGCAGAGAGUUUGGACUGGGAUGGAGGGCGUGGUGGAAGGAGAGAGGUCGGUAUGUUUGUACCAAUGUUUUUAAAUUAUUUUUUUAUUUGUUCAUAUGUUCUCUUUUUUUUAAAAAAAAAA